UCCGACGGGUGCAAGCGUGAAUCGGAAUUACUGGGCGUAAAGCGCGCGUAGGUGGUUCGUUAAGUUGGAUGUGAAAGCCCCGGGCUCAACCUGGGAACUGCAUCCAAAACUGGCGAGCUAGAGUAUGGCAGAGGGUGGUGGAAUUUCCUGUGUAGCGGUGAAAUGCGUAGAUAUAGGAAGGAACACCAGUGGCGAAGGCGACCACAUGGGCUAAUACUGACACUGAGGUGAGAAAGCGGGGGGAGCACACAGGCGUCGAUAACACCGUAGUCC
rnacentral:rRNA from 1 species